UAGUUGGCGGGGUAACGGCCCACCAAGGCGACGAUCCGUAGCUGGUCUGAGAGGACGAUCAGCCACACUGGAACUGACACACGGUCCAGACUCCUACGGGAGGCAGCAGUGGGGAAUUUUGGACAAUGGGCGCAAGCCUGAUCCAGCCAUGCCGCGUGAGUGAAGAAGGCCUUCGGGUUGUAAAGCUCUUUCGGCGGGGACGAAACGGUUCGUGCCAACACCGGACUAAUGACGGUACCCGAAGAAGAAGCACCGGCUAACUACGUGCCAGCAGCCGCGGUAAUACGUAGGGUGCAGGCGUUAAUCGGAAUUACUGGGCGUAAAGCGUGCGCAGGCGGUUUGUUAAGACAGGUGUGAAAUCCCCGGGCUUAACCUGGGAACUGCGCUUGUUACUGGCAGACUUGAGUGUGGCAGAGGGGGGUGGAAUUCCAGGUGUAGCAGUGAAAUGCGUAGAUAUCUGGAGGAACACCGAUGGCGAAGGCAGCCCCCUGGGCUAACACUGACGCUCAUGCACGAAAGCGUGGGGAGCAAACAGGAUUAGAUACCCUGGUAGUCCACGCCCUAAACUAUGUCAACUGGUUGUCGGGGAAGCAAUUCCUUGGUAACGAAGCUAACGCGUGAAGUUGACCGCCUGGGGAGUACGGCCGCAAGGUUAAAACUCAAAGGAAUUGACGGGGACCCGCACAAGCGGUGGAUUAUGUGGAUUAAUUCGAUGCAACGCGAAAAACCUUACCUACCCUUGACAUGUACGGAAUCCCCCAGAGAUGGGGGAGUGCCCGAAAGGGAGCCGUAACACAGGUGCUGCAUGGCUGUCGUCAGCUCGUGUCGUGAGAUGUUGGGUUAAGUCCCGCAACGAGCGCAACCCUUGUCAUUAGUUGCUACAUUCAGUUGGGCACUCUAGUGAGACUGCCGG
rnacentral:rRNA from 1 species